rnacentral:misc_RNA from 1 species
GAACGCACAUUGCGCCCCUUGGUAUUCCAUGGGGCAUGCCUGUUCGAGCGUCAUCUACACCCUCAAGCUCUGCUUGGUGUUGGGCGUCUGUCCCGCCUUUGCGCGCGGACUCGCCCCAAAUUCAUUGGCAGCGGUUGCCUCCUCUCGCGCAGCACAAUUGCGUUUCUUGAGGAGUGCGGGCCGCGUCCACGAAGCAACAUUACCGUCUUUGACCUCGGAUCAGGUAGGGAUACCCGCUGAACUUA